GACAUUCCUCAGUGGCUCAGUUCUGUGGCAGGGGUUGUUUGGAUAUGAAAGUUGAGAUGUGAAUGGAAGUCCAGCCUCCACUCAUUAGAAAUGGGAUCUUGUACAAGUCUCUUAAACUCCCUGAAGCACAGUUUCUGCCCUUCCUAAAUGAGAUUACACAUCUUCACAGGGUAUUUAUAAAACUCUGUGGUGUAAUGCCUAUGAAAGCAGUAAGUAAACUGUCAAACACUAUGCAAAGGUGAGUUUAAUGCUAUAAAUCUGUGUUACGUUGUGCCAGUAGGCAAGGACUGUUUUAUGCUGAACUCUCCAGUAUUUUUUUUUAAGGGUGGUAUUGGUAGAAGACAUUAUUCUUUUACAAUCUGUUGAGAGGUAGAAUGUGAACAUGGGAACGUAUCAUGUUCCAGUCCACUCACUGGACAACCUUUGGGGUAACAGUUUGUCUAUAGAGCCCAGUUUUCUAUGUAGUUGAGGAUUUAAUCUUUUGUCUCAACACUUAAAAAAUAUUCUUGAUGGAAAUUGUUUAAAAAUAUAUUUAAAGGUUGAAGGAGUUAGUGAAAAAGGAUUGAUGGAUUAUUUAUUGUGAACAGAAGGAAAUAUAAAAUAUAUUCUGGCUCUACUGAUUGCCUUGUAAAGAGCAUAGUCACCAUGAUUUUCCAUUUUAUUAGUAAUUCAGGGGCAUCAUUAUGAAUAUCAGUUACACUCUGCUAUAACACUAUAAUGACUUCAGGGAAUAUACUGCAUAUUGGGUUAUUUGCCUUUAUAUCCUCUAACUUCAAACUGCAUUUUGAAAUUUGUUUUAUAAUUUUUAUUUCCUCCUCUGCUGUCUUUUCUCUUCACUAUGGGGUAAUACCUAUAUUAGCCUUGUUUUUUGCUUAUUUAUUACUUCCUCAUAGAAGUCAAGAGAGCCAGUGUUUUCCAAAUAGAUCCACCUCUCUAUAGGGCUCCCUCAGAAGAAGGCUAUCGGGCACUCCAGGACUCUGAGAGCUGUAGAGAAACCUCCAACCUUCUCCACUCCAUUAGAUACUCAGAAACUUGCCCCCAGAGUGUGUCCCAGAAAAGUCAGAACUAAUGAUUGGGAUAAGAAGCCAAUGCUUUCCAGGUCCACUGAGACUUAGUCAUAUCGCCCCUCAAGCCCCAAGACCUUGAAUCACUCAUCCCUCACCAUAAUGGCCUUAUGUCAGAACCACUGGCUUCAGACUAUGUGUGAAUGCUUGGAUAUUUUUUGUAACCCAUGGACUCAAAGGAAUCAUGUGGACAAAGGAGAGGUGGUUGAACAUUUUUUGUGAUCCAGUUUUUUGAAGGUAUUAUUCUAAGGCCAUAAAAUGUGGAGGGGAUCUAAUACCAUAGCUAGAUUUCUGUGGGUUCUCAAAAAGAAAAGUAUGAUUUGAACCUCUGAUCUUUUCUUGUGAAAUCUGUUGGUGUAUGUGAUCUGGAUGGUUGGUGCAAAGCUGCUUUUGUAAAGAAGUAUCAGUCAUCAGGAGUGCUACUGGCCUUUCCCAGCAGACAGUGUUUUUCUUUCUAUUCCUUCUUUUCCUCUUUAUCCUCACCUUUUUCCUUUUUAUUUUUGAAGUUGUGCCAUACUGUGUACAUAGAAUUUUCUAUGCCAAAGUGAGGGUCAACUAAAUCCUUAAGUGUCAAGACAUGUCAAGAAGUACAAUUAUGACUUUUGGAAACUUUGGUCAGAUCAAGGAUUUAAAAAAGAGGUCAAAGGGGUGCCUGGGUAGUUCAGUCAGUUAAACGUCUGCCUUCAGCUCAGGUCAUGAUCCUGGAGUCCUGGAAUCAAGUCCCCCAUCAGACUCCCUGCUCAGUGGAGAGCCUGCCUCUC